UUAGGGUAAGGAGGGUAGAUGUUGGGAAGGGAAAGUUUAAGAUGUUUCAGACCCCACAGCUGCUGGUUAGUAAAUCCCAGUGGAUGGCGAAUUGACCAAGGAAAGAGAGUCAGCCUUGAUCAAGGUCUACACUAAGCAACUAUGUUUUCAGCAAAUGGCCUCUCAGGAAGUUCGGGGAAUCCUGCAACUGGGUAUUAGUGAUGAUGCGACUCAUUACACAGUGAUUGAAACUUAGGAUCAUGGAGUUUACAAUUGGAAAGUAAGUGACCCCAAAUUCGGAGGUGUGUCCUCUUGGGAUGACCCUAGAGGCAGGCUCUAUGCUGAAAAGUGAAGCUGGGUGUAGGUGGCUGCUGGGUUGACAGAACAGACAGUUGAGCUCAUAUCGGGAAAUGUUUGGCUUCCUCAGCAUAUCAGGUGAUCAGUGUGGGCCCUGGUGUCUGCUACCUCCAUCCUCUUUGAAGGAACGUGGAGGAGCCCAUCCUCUGUAGAAGCCUUAAAUCAUCAUAACACAUCGGUCAUUCUGAGUCUCCCCUUAUCACCAGUGCUGGAGGCUGAGGGGUAUCUAGUCUAAGCUUAAGCACUGUCUUCCUUUUGGCUUUUCUGUCCCUACUGCUGAGACCUUGCUGGGCAGUUCUUUAGGGAAAACAAGCCUUGACUGGCUUCAGAGCUAUACCGCCUCCCCACUGGUCCCUCCUCACUGGCUGGGCAGCUGCCGCGCCUGCCUCUUCUGAGCCCUGGGGGCAGCUUAGCCGGGUCGCCCCUAGCAGUAGCUGCUUCUGCAGCUCUUCUGAACAGCCCAUUUCCAUUGUUGGGGGGGUCUCAGCACACUCUGGGUUAUUAUCCCCAAGAAGAGACAAGGAGAUGGCUGUUGCGUGUGCGUGUGUGUGCGUGUGCGUGUGCGUGCACUGUUCAGUUACACCAGAAGUGGAACUUCAGGAGCUUGCUUUCUCUGUUUUCAUAAGCACCCUGUCAGAUACUUAACUCUCCUCUUCAUAGAAGCCUUAGAUCUACAAUUUAGCUAUGCAAAUUAUUUUUAAUAAUUUAAAAACAGCAGUUCCAACAGUGCUUUCUUGGAUGCAUCCCAAGAAUGAAUGGUGAAGGGGCUGAGUUGGAGUGGGCUCUCCGGCUGAGGCUGGUGCAGAGGGAGUAAGCUAGCCUGGAUCUCUGAUUUGCAGGGAACACUCACCACCCGGGCUACAAAUGAUGUCUCUAAGGCCCCAGAGCACUGGGAUCCCAGAGAAUGUGUGUGUGUUUGGGGAAGGAGGGUUAUUUCUGUGUUUGCCUCUAGGAAAUCACAGCAGCAGACUAUGAGAAUCCAGAAACUAUCCCAGCAAGGAACUAAAAUCAGUCACUGGAGGGAUGGGCUUUUAAAGGUACCGGGAAGCAAAUGGGUGUUCUCAGUGCCAUUACAAGCCUGCCCUCUUCCCAGUGGUUCUAGGGGCUGAGUCGUGCUUCACCUCAGGAGAGGCCAUGGUUUUGGGAGACAGUCCUGGGUAGACAAGGUUUUCUUUGAUUUAUGCAGCUUACAGGGAGUAAGCUGUAUAAGGGAGUAGGGCUAGGAUCAUGGGAAAUUAGAGUGCUGCUGGUUCCGUGGUUUUCCUUUACAAAAAAAAAAAAAAGAACCUGAAAACACUUCUCUGACAUUUCUGCUAUCUCUGUGUGCAGGUAGGCAAGCGUGCAUGCAUGUGUGAGGGAAGCAGGAGCUGUCUCAGGACCUAAGAACGAUGUUUUACUGUUCCUCUGAUGAGAAACAACUCGGCAGUGAUGCCCACCCACCAUUCUGGCUUGAGUAAGGGAAGGAUGGUAAGAGGGAGGGCAGAUCAGGUUUAGCCAUCUUCCCUCACUGCUGUCUUCCAUAGUGUGUUUUCAAGGGCCUGUCAUGCCCCGUCUGUCUGGUUUAGCCUAAGUCCUCAAUCUUGGGGAUAUAGUACUAUGUAAUGAUUCAGGACUACAUCACUUGUAGUAAUGCUUGAUUUGCUGUCUCAGUAUCUUUGUAGAUAAAAAUUCAACAGAGACAGAUUAGCCGUUGAAGUGAGAAAGUAAGUGAACCAUGUUGGAUCCAUAUCAUUUUCAAAUUAGAUAUCUGCAGAGUUCUCAUGGCCUCGAGUUAUGCUUCUCAAGCAUCUAUCUUAAGCAUCUUCUGACUACAGGAUAUCUCUGGUCUUUAGAACUCUUAUUGCCUAGGAACUAGUGUGUAGAAUCUAUAUAUACUUGUGAUUCACAACUAAAUAUGAACAUUUCCCACUCCAGGACAUGAAGCAAGUAGCUGGGGUAACAUUUUGCUGAUAGGUUGAAACACUCAACCAAGCUUUUAGCAGUCUGGGUGGGACUGUCACUCCACAGCAGUCAGAGCAAGGCACUCUUGUCUGUGUAUGCCUGGCAUCGCUCUGAAUUGAGUCCUCAUCCCUUGGGGGAAGGUCUUCUGGGGCUUUACAUUCCUGUUUCUCUGUUUCUGUUCAUAACCCCCUCGUGCUUCCCAGUCCCCUGUGAUUCUACAGGAGACCAGUCUCCUCUCUGAGCAGUGGCCUCCUGUGCACCCAGCUCAGUGACUCUCCUUGCACCAAAACUCCUGAGAGAGGAGCUCCUCCCACCUUUAGAUCCCUAGCAGACUUUUCUGGCCCUUGGCAGACUGUUCCCAAGAAAGAAGUCUGCACCUCAUGGUCUGUCUGAGAAGGUUAUGCUCUCCACUCACUCACCUGCAGACUCUCCUUCUGACUGACUCUUCUGCCCUGUAUAUUCCACUGUGACCCCUUUGCGUGUGUGCUGUGCCACUGGCUUGGCUCUAGUCCUUUUAUGAAUACCCGAGUCUUAACGAUGAACUUGCUGAGCAGGCAGAGUCCACCUUCUCUGUGGUUUGGGGACUUGGUCUCCUUUCCUCUCUCAGAGGUCUGUUUGCUAUCAUCAUCUAGUGUGUGGGGGAGAGGUAACUAGACAGGCGGUAGUGAUGGGGCCGGGGGAGAUCUGAGUACUCCGUUACCACUAUUGGGAUAAUAUUCAGAAGAGGGGACCUCAUACUGUGACCUGACCUAGGGCCCUCCCCUGGAAGAGAGCUCAGUCCAGGUUUGUGUGUGUGUGUGUGUGUGGUAGAGUGUGUGUGUGCACACGUGCUUAUGUGCACACGGGUGUAAACUGACUUGUCUGGUUGUGUUACUCAGGGUGGGCUGGGGACUCACCAGAAGAAUCCCCUCAGCCUGCCCGACUGUGUUUUUCCUGUACCCUCUCCAGAGGGGUUGGGGAAGGGGGUCCACGGUGGGUUGAGGGGGUUGCAAUGGAUAACCACUAAGGCCACACUGCUGCCAGGGGGAGUCAGGGGGAGAUGAGGUGGCCCCAGGGACCUGGCACCUGGCUUUGGUUUUCCGUCUUCUUUCCUCAGGACGCCCCCUGAGGCCUGGGACCUGCGCCUGGCUUUGAGGAGCACCUGUAGCUGAGUGCUCCUGCCCUAGAGACUGGGCAACUGGCUGUUUCUAUGACGUAUUUAUUUUUACUUGUGUUUCAUGUCACUUUUUUAAAAAAGCAAACAGAACAAUUGUAAGUCAGUAUAACUGCCUAUCAGUUUUCUUUAUUUCUCUUUUUGUAAAAUAAAAUGUAAACUGAAGAAGGCAGUGUUGUUUAAUCAAGGAAU
ensembl:lncRNA